UACGAAGGGGGCUAGCGUUGCUCGGAAUUACUGGGCGUAAAGGACGCGUAGGCGGAUAGUUUAGUCAGAGGUAAAAGCCCAGGGCUCAACCUUGGAACUGCCCUUGAUACUGGCUAUCUUGAGUACGGGAGAGGUGUGUGGAACUCCGAGUGUAGAGGUGAAAUUCGUAGAUAUUCGGAAGAACACCAGUGGCGAAGGCGACACACUGGCCCGUUACUGACGCUGAGGCGCGAAAGCGUGGGGAGCAAACAGG
rnacentral:rRNA from 1 species